rnacentral:lncRNA from 1 species
GAGGAAAGCGGCGGCGGUGGCGGCUUCAACAGCAGCUCUUGCCCUUAAGGAACAAUGAAACACAAAGAUGGUGCAGACCCAGGCCCUGCUUUGACUGGGAGAAAGAUGCAUUCAGUUGACUAAAACUUGAACAGGGCAGUUUACUUCUAUAGAAGGGUGCACCCUCACAGAUGGACCAAUGUGUCAGGAGAAUUCAGUCACACCCAAAGCAGGAGAUGCGGGAGGCCAGAUGCGCAAGAUGGACACUCGGCUCCUCCUUCGUCCCCGCCUCUCCUCGCUUCCAGGGUAGCAGCCUCAACAAGGGAAACUAUUGUUCCAGUGGAGGCUGCGAGGAUGUCGGUGAUUUACGCGCCGAGCUGUAGCUGCAAAAGGACAAGGGCAAGUGCCGGCCCGACCUAGGGCCCACCGGUCUCUGGCUUGCUCUUGUGAGUAGGUGCACCCUGCCCGCUUGUGGUGGCCUCAGGGGUAAGAAAUCAGGACCCACCCAG